rnacentral:rRNA from 1 species
UACAGAGGGUGCAAGCGUUAAUCGGAAUUACUGGGCGUAAAGCGUGCGUAGACGGUUAUGUAAGUCGGGUGUGAAAGCCCCGGGCUCAACCUGGGAAUGCCAUUCGAGACUGCAUAGCUAGGGUGCGGAAGAGGGAAGCGGAAUUUCCGGUGUAGCGGUGAAAUGCGUAGAUAUCGGGAAGAACACCCGUGGCGAAGGCGGUUCUCUGGGACGGUACUGACGCUGAGACGCGAAAGCGUGGGGAGCGAACAGG